CUCGUAGGCGGCCAACUAAGUCCGACGUGAAAUCCCCAGGCUUAACCUGGGAACUGCGUCGGAUACUGGAUGGCUUGAAUCCGGGAGAGGGAUGCAGAAUUCCAGGUGUAGCGGUGAAAUGCGUAGAUAUCUGGAGGAAUACCGGUGGCGAAGGCGGCAUCCUGGACCGGCAUUGACGCUGAUGAGCGAAAGCUAGGGAGCAAACG
rnacentral:rRNA from 1 species